GCUUUUUAGGUCUACAGAGGCUAGCGUUAAUAGCCUCUACUUAUAGGUAUACAGAGGCUAGCGUUAAUAGCCUCUGCUUCGGAUUAAUUGAGUUCUUCUCAACGUUUUUCUUUCUUCAUUUCAGCCAUUUCACCGGUUAAACUUUGUGUUUGUCCAUGUCGGGUGCUCCGUUUUCGUUCGUCCUCAUUCGUUCUUCGCCCUUCUGGAAGAUUGUGUGUUUUUUGUGUAUAUUUUUGGGAUAUCUUCUUCCACUGCUUCAUUGGUAGUUUUUUGUGAUAGCUUCAUUUUCACAUUGCUAUGCUUCUAGGCGAGGUUUUGGGUUCAUUUUCCUAUUACCGUGCUAAAUCGUUUUCGUUUUAAACCCCCAUUUCAGAUUUAUUGUAUCAGAUUGUGUGGGUUAGAGAUAGAUUCUUUCGCUGCUUUCUUCGCCUUAUUUUUCCUUUUCGUACUCAUGGUUUUGGGUUUCGUUUUCUUACUCAUUUUUCGUUUUCGUUUUCGUUUUCCCUUUGGCAGGGCGAGGAUUUCGGCUCGUUUUCAUCCUAAAGCUUCAAUGGUUUUCGUUCUAACCUCCUUUCUGAUUUAAUUUUUCAGUUUCAGUAGCGGAAUUUAGGGUUUAUCUUCAGUACUCUUUUUUAGGGUUUUUUCUUCGUCGGGUUUUUUUAAGUGCUCAUUAACCGCAUUCUUUCGGGUUGAUUCCUUGUCGGAAUUUCUGGUUUUCUUGUAUCCAUUUUCUUAAGUGUUGAUUCAAUUGGGCUUCAAGUUCGACACAUGGGCCAUCAUCGUCCCAAAUCCAUUAACGAAAACCUUAUUAGGACUGUCGAUUUGAAGCUUUUGUGAUGUUUUCUACAACAUUCAUUGAAGCUUUUGUGCCUAAAUUCAGGUAACAGAGAGAUUGACCGCCAACAUCGUUCGCCGAUGAGUCUCCAGUCACCAAGAACGUCUUAUUUCUUCGCUCUUUCACACCAUCGUCCUCUGGAGUAGGGCUUUAAGUUCUAGCUUUCUAAUAGUCCUCAUUUACAAGCACCGACGUUCGCAGCUGACGAUCUGUGCCACACAACGGAAUCUAUUACUUGGUAAUUUUUUCUCCCUUUCUUCCAUUUUACGAUUUUAUUCCUUUGAUGGGUCAAUGAAUGUUUUUUCAAUUUAAGCUAUGAUUUCAUUUUCUUCCAUAUAUCAUUUUCCAUUUUCUCCCAUAUCACCUGAUCAAAAUUACUCUCCUAAAUUUCGUGAUAAAUCAGGAAAUCUUGCUGGAGAUUUUGGACUUAAUUGCUGAUUAUCUUACUUUCGGGUAGAUCUAUUGAGAUUUAAAGGUACAAAGACGAACUUUCAAUAACGUCGAUGAUCCUAGUGCUUUUAAUAUUCGAUUACGACUUUUACAGGCUUGAAGCUGAACCGAGAAGGUUCGAAGAAACAAGCUCAACUCUUCUGAAUGGGUGAAAGGAAAAUAAAUUAAUAAUUAUUUAGGUUAAUAGUCCUUUUCUCAUUAAUUUAAUAGUGCUUUAGGAAUUUUCUAAUUUUUUUAAUUAAUAUCUAUUUCCUAAGUUAAUGAGUGUGCUUUAGGAGUAAAUAUCUAUUUUAAAAAAGUAAAUAUCUGAUUAAUGUGAUUUUCAGAUAUUAAUUUAAUUAAAUAUUUAGAAUUGAAUGUGUAAGCCACCAAAUAUUUUCCGUUCUAACCCCCCAAAUAUUUAACAAAGAAUUUAUUGCAGACGGACGACGUGUCAAUUUUUUAAAAGGUAUGAUUUAACAUUUUUUUACUGUAGUUGAUGGGCAGACAUAAUUACGAUUAAAAGAUGUCGGUUACAGAUCAGUCACAUUAAAACACUAUUACAUUAGUCUAAAAUGUCUGACAUCGAGAUCAAUAGGAAUUAAAAUAUGUGAUUUGUUUUUGGCAGUAAAUUUUUAAAAAAAAGAGCGGGGGGAUUUGAAAGGACGCUUAGAUAGGCUUUUCUGGGAGGGUUAAUUACGUAAUUUCAACAUCAAUUGUUUAAAAUUUAGGGUUACG
rnacentral:lncRNA from 1 species